UUAAUUUACUGAGACGGGAUGACUGGCGAAGGGGGUUCUCCCGGAGUGAGGCUUGACCUAUCCACUAUCGGUUGAGUUGACCUCAGCGAUUAUUCCUAAUACGAAUAACUCGUGCGUGUAAUUUUUGACAGAUUUGACAGAU